ensembl:snoRNA SNORA70 Small nucleolar RNA SNORA70
UUUAAACAAAUUCCAUCGUAGCCAUUGCAUUCCUACAAACAGUAGCCGUCUUGGUAGUAUUUGCAGCCUGUGGCUUUAGGGGUUCCCUUAGGGACCUUGGAGAUAGCC